rnacentral:lncRNA from 11 species
ACUAUAAAUGUCUGUUGACGAUUUGCUGUACACUUCCCUCGCUGACUGCGAAUUAUUUUAAUUUUUUUUUUCUUGCAGAAGCCUGCUUGCUUGACGGACCAGAAGGAGCAUGAUUUUUCCAACAUUAAAUUGGAAGCUUCCCUUCGUGCCUUUAUGGGCACCGCUGAAGACUGCCACAGAAAGCUCCGGAAAGCUCCAGAAAAGCAAAAGGAUUUGGAAAAUCGUAUUAAAAAGAUGGCACAGAGCUACGUACCAGAGAGAAGGAAUGAAGGAAAAGUAAAGAAUGUGCGAUGGCAAAAAGGGCUGCACAGAGCCUCUCAAAAAAGUCUACACAGAACUGCUACCCCAUUUAUGUCACCGGAAGAAGUAGAGAGGCUUGUUUCAUCAGCUUCCAAGCUCAUUGUGGCUACAAUUUCGGAAAUUCCUCCAGAAAAACCCGGAACAACUCCAGAAGAUGCUUCAUUUCUAAAGAGAAGAGAUGUAAAAAGCAUCCAGACUUCGGAUAAUAGUAUCAGGCAACAGUUUUCUUCUACACUUUCCUGCAAGGAUGGAGCAAGGAGAGCUAAGCAAGAAAGAAAAAGUCGGGAAGAUGUAAAGAGGACAGGUGAAUUUUCAAGCAUCCCCAGCAACUCUGCUAAAUCAAAAAGAUUUUUGUCUGAACCUCGUCCUAAACCAACUGCUAGAAGUUCACUGAAUAGAGGUUCCUUGGUUUCAAGUUUUCAAACUGGAGAAAACAAAGCGCGUUGGCAAAGCAAACUUAAAAGCAAAGCCUCCAUCUCUGAACACAAAGAUAAGACAACACUAAACGCUCAAGAAAAGACCCGUUCACUUUCUGAGGAAAACCCACACGAUUCUGGUGGACGUUUCAAUAAAACGGAAAGAGAAGACUCGCGGAGUCCUAGACCUGGGGAAAUAGCUUCAAGCAAAGCCAAGGGUUUGGAUCCGAGGCCAGUUCUACGCUCCCCAAAGAAUAAAAAAUCCAGAGUAUCAAAAAGUGAUAACACCAAAUACUCUGCAGAGCCAACAACAGCAGCGAUAAGUACCCAACUUUCAAUGACUGGGAAAAAGAUGGAAGAACAAGGCAAUUCUAUAGUAGUUUCUAGGUGUGUUGCAGUUCCUGGAUAUGGAGCCUCUGAAUACAAUCAGGUUUAUUAUGAAAAAAAUCAGCAAGGCUAUAUCCCGGGCGGUCUUGCUCAGGAAUAUCAUUGCUCGGAUGGUGGCAACCUCCAUCACCUUAGAGUCCCAGAAGAUGCAGCUCUGGCGCCUGCCGUGGUAGAUAAACCCACUGGACACGUGGCAUGUGUUCAAGAGGAUCGCAAUGGCCCCGUUGCCACACUAAAGCACGGAUCAUCUUUUCUGUAUGAACUCUGCCAGGAAAUGGACCAAGAUUCGCCAGCGGAUAUGUUGACGAACAGGUCUGUGACUACAGAUGAAACUGACGGAAAUCAAAGCACACAUUCUUGUUUAAAUCCACCAUAGAAUUAGGAAAUACAGUAGAGUCUCACUUAUCCAACAUAAACGGGCCGGCAGAACGUUGGAGAAGUGAAUAUGUUGGAUAAUAAGGAAGGAUUUAGGAAAAGCCUAUUAAACAUCAAAUUGGUGUAUGAUUUUACAAAUUAAGCACCAAAACAUCAUGUUAUACAACAAAUUUGACAGAAAAAGUAGUUCAGUUUGCAGUAAU